rnacentral:misc_RNA from 1 species
AAAGAAGCCCUUUUUUGAUGCGCGGUGAGUUAGGGUGAAUUUCUUUGUUAUUGCUGUGUUGCCCUUGGUUCCUUAUUGUUUUGUACUUUCUAUGAAGUAACAGCCAUUUAAUUCUUUGCUUUAAAAUGUAAUUGUAUUAGAACAGCUUUCUAUAGCAUCAUUUGCCUGGACCAGUCCUUAACUCCUUAUUAUCAUGUGUACCUUGCCCAUAACACAUGCUCCAAACAUUGGAUAUAUCAGUUGUUCUCUUGUAGUAGUUCUGUUUGUUUAUUGGCAACCUAUAUGUUUAUCUGUUGUGAAUGGACAAAGAAGACUGUCAUUGAUUGGAAAAAUAGAAGCCCUUCAUAAUAGAUCGAUUUAUUGUUGAAAAUGCCAUUUUUGUUGAUAGUUCGUGUUUUAAACUUUUCAUUUCUACUUCUCUAAUAGCUUUUAGCUCUCAAUUCUCAUGCUAUUUAUACUUUUAAUUUUGUUGUUUGCUUGCUUU